rnacentral:piRNA from 1 species
UGUACUCAUUCUCCCGGUCCACGUCUU